GCUCUUGGAAACGGGUGGUAAUGCUGAUGCUCCAACUUGACGCAUGUCUUGUUGGGAAAGUGUUUAGUGGCAUGGGAUGGGGUCGCGUCCUAUCAGCUUGUAGGCGGGGUAAUGGCCCACCUAGGCUUCGACGGGUAGCCGGCCUGAGAGGGCGGACGGCCACAUUGGGACUGAGAUACGGCCCAGACUCCUACGGGAGGCAGCAGCC
rnacentral:rRNA from 1 species